rnacentral:rRNA from 1 species
UACGGGGGGGGCAAGCGUUGUUCGGAAUUACUGGGCGUAAAGGGCGCGUAGGCGGCCUGCUAAGUCGGACGUGAAAUCCCUCGGCUCAACCGGGGAACUGCGUCCGAUACUGGCGAGGCUUGAAUCCGGGAGAGGGAUGUGGAAUUCCAGGUGUAGCGGUGAAAUGCGUAGAUAUCUGGAGGAACACCGAUGGCGAAGGCAGGUCUCUGGGCCGCAACUGACGCUGAGGAGCGAAAAGCAUGGGGGAGCCGAACAGG